UACGUAGGGGGCGAGCGUUAUUCGGAAUUAUUGGGCGUAAAGGGCGCGUAGGCGGCUUGGCAAGUCAAAGGUGAAAUCCCUCGGCUCAACUGAGGAACUGCCUUUGAAACUGCCUGGCUUGAGGCCGGGAGGGGGUAGCGGAAUUCCCAGUGUAGCGGUGAAAUGCGUAGAUAUUGGGAGGAACACCAGUGGCGAAGGCGGCUACCUGGACCGGUUCUGACGCUGAUGCGCGAAAGCGUGGGUAGCAAACAGG
rnacentral:rRNA from 1 species